GCAAGGUGAUGGACAGGAGCUUGUUGGU
rnacentral:piRNA from 1 species